rnacentral:rRNA from 1 species
AUUGAACGCUGGCGGCAGGCCUAACACAUGCAAGUCGAGCGGAUGAAGAGAGCUUGCUCUCUGAUUCAGCGGCGGACGGGUGAGUAAUGCCUAGGAAUCUGCCUGGUAGUGGGGGACAACGUUUCGAAAGGAACGCUAAUACCGCAUACGUCCUACGGGAGAAAGCAGGGGACCUUCGGGCCUUGCGCUAUCAGAUGAGCCUAGGUCGGAUUAGCUAGUUGGUGAGGUAAUGGCUCACCAAGGCGACGAUCCGUAACUGGUCUGAGAGGAUGAUCAGUCACACUGGAACUGAGACACGGUCCAGACUCCUACGGAGGCAGCAGUGGGGGAAUAAUUGGACAAUGGGCGAAAGCCUGAUCCAGCCAUGCCGCGUGUGUGAA